rnacentral:rRNA from 1 species
UGGGGAAUUUUGGACAAUGGGCGAAAGCCUGAUCCAGCAAUGCCGCGUGAGUGAAGAAGGCCUUCGGGUUGUAAAGCUCUUUUGUCAGGGAAGAAACGGUGAGGGCUAAUAUCCCUUGCUAAUGACGGUACCUGAAGAAUAAGCACCGGCUAACUACGUGCCAGCAGCCGCGGUAAUACGUAGGGUGCAAGCGUUAAUCGGAAUUACUGGGCGUAAAGCGUGCGCAGGCGGUUUUGUAAGUCUGAUGUGAACUCCCCGGGCUCAACCUGGGAAUUGCAUUGGAGACUGCAAGGCUAGAAUCUGGCAGAGGGGGGUAGAAUUCCACGUGUAGCAGUGAAAUGCGUAGAUAUGUGGAGGAACACCGAUGGCGAAGGCAGCCCCCUGGGUCAAGAUUGACGCUCAUGCACGAAAGCGUGGGGAGCAAACA